AUUGAACGCUGGCGGCAGGCCUAACACAUGCAAGUCGAACGGUAACAGGAAACAGCUUGCUGUUUCGCUGACGAGGGGCGGGCGUGUGAGUAAUGUCUGUGACACUGCCUGAUGGAGGGGGUUAACUACUGGAAACGGUAGCCAAAACCGCACAACGUCGGAAGACCAAAGAGCGGGACUUUCGGGCCUCUUUCCUUCCGCUGAGCCCAGGUGGCAUUAGCUAGUAGGUGGGGUAACGGCUGACCAAGGCGACGAUCCCUAGCUGGUCUGAGAGGAUGAACAGCCACACUGGAACUGAGACACGGUCCAGACUCCUACGGGAGGCAGCAGUGGGGAAUCUUGCACAAUGGGCGCAAGCCUGAUGCAGCCAUGCCGCGUGUGUGAAGAAGGUCUUCGGAUUGUAAAGCACUUUCAGUGGGGAGGAAGGGAGGUAAGUUAAUACCUUCGCGCAUUGACGUUACCCACAGAAGAAGCACCGGCUAACUCCGUG
rnacentral:rRNA from 1 species